CUACGGGUGGCACCAGUGGGGAAUAUUGCACAAUGGGGGAAACCCUGAUGCAGCAACGCCGCGUGGAGGAUGACACAUUUCGGUGCGUAAACUCCUUUUAUAUAAGAAGAUAAUGACGGUAUUAUAUGAAUAAGCACCGGCUAACUCCGUGCCAGCAGCCGCGGUAAUACGGAGGGUGCAAGCGUUAUUCGGAAUCACUGGGCGUAAAGGGUGCGUAGGCGGGUUGGAAAGUCAGGUGUGAAAGCCCGGGGCUCAACUCCGGAACUGCACUUGAAACUUCCAGACUAGAAUACUGAAGGGGCAGAUGGAAUUAGUGGUGUAGGGGUAAAAUCCGUAGAUAUCACUAGGAAUACCGAAAGCGAAAGCGAUCUGCUGGGAAGUUAUUGACGCUGAGGCACGAAAGCGUGGGGAGCAAACAGGAUUAGAUACCCUUGUAGUC
rnacentral:rRNA from 1 species